UGUCUGGGCAGAGUGUUGUUUGAGUGAUGUGAUCAGGGAACUCUAGAUGUUUUCAAUAUCAACUCCCAGCUGCCAGUGUGGGGCUGUGGAGAGUUGGCAUGGUGUUGUCUGUGGUAGUGAAUUGGACUUCUCUCUAGCUUUGAGAAAAAGGUUUUCUUCUGGGGUGAUGUUUAUUGGACUUGUGGGUUGUGGUGGUCACUUCUGCAAUUGCCUUCAGCACCUGGUCAUGGCGCCAACGGUAGCAACCAUCAGCCAAGUCUUGAGACAGCUGCAGAGGAGCCUCUUCCUCUCCCAUCACAAAGAGGGCAGGAAGGCGUUCCAUUCUCACCCAUGUGUGAAGGUUUGCUGGACCUGUUAAGGUCCAUUAGCCUCCACCUCUACCUCCAUCAUUGGUCCAAGAAGCUGACAAUGCUGGUCUACCUGUUCCUACUGUCUCUCCAGUUCUAUCUCACAAAGGCUCCGCGCUCUAUUGGACUCCUCCAAUCACACGCACACACUUGCCCACUGAAAUUUUAUCGUGCACGUAGCCGACCAAUAGGACGUUGCUACUGAUACGUGGGUGAUGUAUAAAUAGCAGUGUCCCUACUGCCUCAGCAUUAGUGAUGGCAAGUUCGAGUCUUUUGACAGAUUUGUUCAUUCAAAUCUCGUUUAUUAAAAUGAACAAAUUCUUUUUUGAGUCAUUUCAUUCAUUUGAACUAGGCUGGUUAUUGCGGCGCUGCAGCCCUCUAGUGGGCGAUUAAAAAACAACGCCGUUCUGAAACACGUAAGGCUGCCUAGCUUGCUAUCU